rnacentral:antisense_RNA from 1 species
UAUUUUCCAGAAAUUAGUUCCUCGCUCGUGGCUCGCGUUUCUUCCAAAUCACCUCAAAAGCACGGUGUUUAUGAGCCUACCUUAUCCGAUACUGCAAUGGAAUUCCGGAUAUUUGCAGACAGAUCUCCCGGCUUUGCAAGUGUUUGAUGAGAUACGUUCGGAAUCCCCUUUUUUUUCUAGAGCCCGGUUCCAGGCCGUAGAGCAAGCCGACCUGGGGCUGCGGCCCCUGCCCCACACCCGGGCCGCGCGCCCGGCCCGAGGCCAGCACAGGACGCAGCCCCUCCGGGGCCGGGGCUAGCGGGGGCCGCUCGGGCUGCGGGCCGCUCUGCAACAGGUCACCCUGACCGCGACUCCGCGGGUUCGCGGGCGGCCAACUCUGCGGCCAGGCUUCUGGGCGCAGCCGCCAGGGCCAGGGGAGGGGGUGUGGCCCGGCUUCUGCUGGUCCUGGCUCCGAGGUCCGGGAUCGGGCUCACCUGAAGGGAGGCUGAGGCGCCGCUGGGCGCCAGAACAGAGCGGGCGGAGGCUUGGGGCUUCCGCCACCCAAGAGGGAGAGCGAGGCGGGUUCAAGGGGUCGCAGCGCCCCCGGCUUCAGGACGGCGCCCCCGAGCGGGGACCCCACUCUGGGCUCCGACUCUGAGAACCCGCGGCCGAGGGAGGCGCGCCCCCCAGCGCCCUUCUCCCUCAGCCUCAGCCCCAGCUCCGCAGCCCCCUCCCUGCGCGCAGGGCGAGCAGCCCCGGGGCCCGCGGCCGGGAGAGCCACACUCCGCAGCGCCGCCGCCGCCAUUCCCCGCGCCGCCCGGGGGGCGCCGCGUACCCACCCUCCCUCCCUCCCUCCCUCCCCCCCCGCACCGCCCCGCGGCCUGAGCCCACCGACCUGUGCAGCCGCGGCCGUCGCCUCAGAGGAUGGAAAGACGAUGCCGACCUCACGCUUCACCGCCACGGCCGCCGCCGCCUAGAGUAGCACUCGUCGACCCGAACAGUCACCGUCUCUCAUUCAGCGCCCGCAGCCGCAGCCGCCGCCGCCGCCGCCGCUGCCGCUCGGGGGAGGAGAGUGAGCUGGAACCACCCCGUCCGCGCCAGGGGUGGGGGACGAGAGCGGACCUGGCGGGGGCGCGCGCCAAGCGGGCGGGGCGGAGCCGCGCGCGCGCGCACCAACGGAGCGCGCUCGCGGGGGCUCUGAGAGCUGCAGCCGUCAGGGUCUUAACCUCGCGCUUCCCGCCCGCAGCUUUUCGGCCCCGCGGAGCCCAACUGCCGCCGGGGAUCGGUGCCCGCAGCGCGCGCAGCCAUCCGCAACCCCACCGCCCGGCGCCUGCUGAAAGGAGGGGCUCCCACCGGCCAAACAACGGGGGGGAAGGGGUGGGAGGAUGGACAGGUGGGGCGUCCGCCACCGCCUGGCCACCCGCUCCCAGAACGCGGCCCUCUGUGAAAUCCGCCGUGAUGUCUGUGGCCUUCAGCGCCGGGCUCUUCACCUUUAAGGCCAGAGAACAAAGUCUGGAAGCACUUGGCCCCAAGAUCAAAUAUCCAGCCCACGCCAGCGGUGUUUUUAGAAGUCACUGCGGACAAAUGAGGGGGCUCCAAAUGUGGAGAGUCACCCCACUGCCUUAGAUAAGGUCAUAAAUUAUGGUGAUCAACAUCCUCACACAUUAAGAUUCGGGAAGUGUUAGAAGUAGGCCUUUGUAAGAUGUUACGCAGGGUACUACCCUUGACUUAAGGAGCAAAUGACAGAAAUUGGGCGGAAAGGUGUUGUUUCAGAGUCUACUAAAUGGGUGGCCUACUUAAAGCUAGCACCAUUUGAUGCAGUGUGACUAUUAACGGAAGGUUUUAAGUGAGCCGCCUUUGUAUCUGCUGUCAUUAGACCAUUUGGAAAUGGAUAAUUAUUUGAUGAUCUGCAGUUCUUUCUCUAGGCAAUGUGCAGUAGAAUGUGGAAAGAAUACUAUGUACCAGCAUUAAGUGUAAAACAUGAAAGGACCAAUAAUUCACUAUUCCC